rnacentral:rRNA from 1 species
AGCAGCCGCGGUAAUUCCAGCUCCAAUAGCGUAUAUUAAAGUUGCUGCAGUUAAAAAGCUCGUAGUUGAAUUUCGGGAUCAAUAUGUUGGUCGUGCCUCGGUACGUACUAGCUUAUUGGUUUCUCCCUUCUGACGAACCAUGAUGUCAUUUAUUUGGUGUUAUGGGAAAUCAGGACUGUUACUUUGAAAAAUUAGAGUGUUUAAAGCAGGCUCACGCUUGAAUACAUUAGCAUGGAAUAAUGAAAUAGGACGUUCGAUCCUAUUUUGUUGGUUUCUAGGAUUGACGUAAUGAUUAAUAGGGAUAGUUGGGGGCAUUAGUAUUCAAUUGUCAGAGGUGAAAUUCUUGGAUUUAUUGAAGACUAACUACUGCGAAAGCAUUUGCCAAGGAUGUUUUCAUUAAUCAAGAACGAAAGUUAGGGGAUCGAAGACGAUCAGAUACCGUCGUAGUCUUAACCAUAA